UACGGAGGGUGCAAGCGUUGUCCGGAAUCACUGGGCGUAAAGGGCGCGUAGGCGGCCUGGUAAGUAGGGGGUGAAAUCCUGCGGCUUAACCGCAGGGCUGCCUUCUAAACUGUCAGGCUUGAGCACGGUAGAGGCAGAUGGAAUUCCCGGUGUAGCAGUGGAAUGCGUAGAGAUCGGGAAGAACAUCAGUGGCGAAGGCGGUCUGCUGGGCCGUUGCUGACGCUGAGGCGCGACAGCGUGGGGAGCAAACAGG
rnacentral:rRNA from 1 species